AGAGUGAACGCUGGCGGUAGGCCUAACACAUGCAAGUCGAACGGCAGCACAGUAAGAGCUUGCUCUUAUGGGUGGCGAGUGGCGGACGGGUGAGGAAUACAUCGGAAUCUACCUUUUCGUGGGGGAUAACGUAGGGAAACUUACGCUAAUACCGCAUAAGACCUUCGGGUGAAAGCCGGGGACCUUCGGGCCUGGCGCGGAUAGAUGAGCCGAUGUCGGAUUAGCUUGUUGGCGGGUAAAAGCCCACCAAGGCGACGAUCCGUAGCUGGUCUGAGAGGAUGGACUACGACGACCACUAC
rnacentral:rRNA from 1 species